AUCUCCUUGGUCUAGCGGCUAUGAUGCCGGUCUCCAAAACCGUGCGACCCAGGUUCGAGUCCUGGAGGGGAUG
rfam:Klebsiella phage 0507-KN2-1 DNA, complete genome.